UACGGAGGAUCCAAGCGUUAUCCGGAUUCAUUGGGUUUAAAGGGUGCGUAGGCGGAAUGAUAAGUCAGUGGUGAAAUCCUGCAGCUUAACUGCAAGAACUGCCAUUGAUACUGUCAAUCUUGAGUAUAUUGAUGUGGCGGAAUGUGAUCAUGUAGCGGUGAAAUGCUUAGAUAUGACACAGAACACCGAUUGCGAAGGCAGCUCACAAAACUAAUAACUGGACGCUGAAGGCACGAAAGCCGUGGGUAUCAAACAGG
rnacentral:rRNA from 1 species